rnacentral:tRNA from 1 species
UGCGGUGUGUCUGAAGUCUGGUUAUCAGGUUGGCCUCAUAAGCCAAUGCCUUGUGCCUCGUGGGUUCAAAUCCCACCUCCGCUACCA